rnacentral:rRNA from 1 species
CGUCCUACGGGAGGCAGCAGUGGGGAAUAUUGCACAAUGGGGGAAACCCUGAUGCAGCGACGCCGCGUGAGUGAAGAAGGAUUUCGGUUCGUAAAGCUCUGUUGUUAGGGAAGAAUGAUUGUGUAGUAACUAUACACAGUAGAGACGGUACCUAACCAGAAAGCCACGGCUAACUACGUGCCAGCAGCCGCGGUAAUACGUAGGUGGCAAGCGUUGUCCGGAAUUAUUGGGCGUAAAGCGCGCGCAGGUGGUUUAAUAAGUCUGAUGUGAAAGCCCACGGCUCAACCGUGGAGGGUCAUUGGAAA